GACGAACGCUGGCGGCGUGCCUAAUACAUGCAAGUUGAGCGAUGAAGAUUGGUGCUUGCACCAAUUUGAAGAGCAGCGAACGGGUGAGUAACGCGUGGGGAAUCUGCCUUUGAGCGGGGGACAACAUUUGGAAACGAAUGCUAAUACCGCAUAAUAACUUUAAACAUAAGUUUUAAGUUUGAAAGAUGCAAUUGCAUCACUCAAAGAUGAUCCCGCGUUGUUUUAGCUAGUUGGUGAGGUAAAGGCUCACCAAGGCGAUGAUACAUAGCCGACCUGAGAGGGUGAUCGGCCACAGUGGGACUGAGACACGGCCCAAACUCCUACGGGAGGCAGCAGUAGGGAAUCUUCGGCAAUGGACGAAAGUCUGGCCGAGCAACGCCGCGUGAGUGAAGAAGGUUUUCGGAUCGUAAAACUCUGUUGGUAGAGAAGAACGUUGGUGAGAGUGGAAAGCUCAUCAAGUGACGGUAACUACCCAGAAAGGGACGGCUAACUACGUG
rnacentral:rRNA from 1 species